rnacentral:rRNA from 1 species
GAUGAACGCUAGCUACAGGCUUAACACAUGCAAGUCGAGGGGCAGCAUGGUCUUAGCUUGCUAAGGCCGAUGGCGACCGGCGCACGGGUGAGUAACGCGUAUCCAACCUGCCUUACACUCUUGGACAGCCUUCUGAAAGGGAGAUUAAUACAAGAUGUUAUCAUGAGUAAGCAUUUUCGCAUGAUUAAAGGUUUACCGGUGUAAGAUGGGGAUGCGUUCCAUUAGAUAGUAGGCGGGGUAACGGCCCACCUAGUCUUCGAUGGAUAGGGGUUCUGAGAGGAAGGUCCCCCACAUUGGAACUGAGACACGGUCCAAACUCCUACGGGAGGCAGCAGUGAGGAAUAUUGGUCAAUGGACGAGAGUCUGAACCAGCCAAGUAGCGUGAAGGAUGAAGGUUCUAUGGAUUGUAAACUUCUUUUAUACGGGAAUAAACGAAUCCACGUGUGGAUUUUUGCAUGUACCGUAUGAAUAAGGAUCGGCUAACUCCGUGCCAGCAGCCGCGGUAAUACGGAGGAUCCGAGCGUUAUCCGGAUUUAUUGGGUUUAAAGGGAGCGUAGAUGGGUUGUUAAGUCAGUUGUGAAAGUUUGCGGCUCAACCGUAAAAUUGCAAUUGAUACUGGCAGUCUUGAGUACAGUUGAGGUAGGCGGAAUUCGUGGUGUAGCGGUGAAAUGCUUAGAUAUCACGAAGAACUCCGAUUGCGAAGGCAGCUUACUAACCUGUAACUGACAUUGAUGCUCGAAAGUGUGGGUAUCAAACAGGAUUAGAUACCCUGGUAGUCCACACGGUAAACGAUGAAUACUCGCUGUAGGCGAUAUACAGUCUGCGGCCAAGCGAAAGCAUUAAGUAUUCCACCUGGGGAGUACGCCGGCAACGGUGAAACUCAAAGGAAUUGACGGGGGCCCGCACAAGCGGAGGAACAUGUGGUUUAAUUCGAUGAUACGCGAGGAACCUUACCCGGGCUUAAAUUGCAACCGAAUAUGGCGGAAACGCUAUAGCUAGCAAUAGCGGUUGUGAAGGUGCUGCAUGGUUGUCGUCAGCUCGUGCCGUGAGGUGUCGGCUUAAGUGCCAUAACGAGCGCAACCCUUGCCGAUAGUUACUAACAGGUUAUGCUGAGGACUCUGUCGGGACUGCCAUCGUAAGAUGUGAGGAAGGUGGGGAUGACGUCAAAUUAGCACGGCCCUUACGUCCGGGGCUACACACGUGUUACAAUGGGGGGGUACAGAGGGCUGCUACCACGCAAGUGGAUGCCAAUCCCAAAAACCUCUCUCAGUUCGGAUUGAAGUCUGCAACCCGACUUCAUGAAGCUGGAUUCGCUAGUAAUCGCGCAUCAGCCACGGCGCGGUGAAUACGUUCCCGGGCCU